AUAUAUAUAUAUAUGAAAGAAUGAAAGAAAAAAGAAAGAAGAAGAGAAGGAAAAAGAAGGAGUUGUGAAGGAAGAAAGCAGAAAAUCGCAAUUGUAUUGUUCUCUGACGCCAUGAUGAUGAUUGAUGAUGAUAAUUUUUAAUAAUUUUAUUCUGUGUACAUUAAUGUUUAUUUUUCUUUUUUUCGGAUGAAAAUCAGCAAUCAUUUAAGUUGUAUAAUGUACUUUCAGUGUCAGCACAUAAUACGAGGAUGAUAUAUUAGUGUGUCCCCUUCUUAAAGCUAAGAUUUUCAGCUGUGCUCGGUUGGAGGGGACGAUCGGGAUGUAAAUUUGAAUGAAUGCAGCAGUAUCGUUAUGAACCUUGUUUAACCUCCUACCCAAAAACCAAAUCGACCCACCUACUCAUACCCCCCUCCCCUACAAUUAUUUUUCUUUUACUUCUCUCUCUCUCUCUCUCUCUCUCUCUAUAUAUAUAUAUAUAUAUAUAUAUAUAUAUAUCACACACACACACACACACACACACACACACAUACUCAAACUAUCUCCUUUCUUUCUUUUCUUUUCGACGUGACAUCGCACUUUGGAUUAUAAAUAAUGGCUAGUGUCUCGUUCGCCUGUGACUGACUCUGACUUUUACUAUGAUCCUCACCUCCGACGGAGCCAGCGGGGGAGGGGGAGCGUUGUUUGAAAAUGUAUCAUAUAUUCGUAUUAAUGAUGAUAAAUAUAACAAAACGUAAUAAAUUAGCAUGACAAAUUGCAUUUCUACCACCAUGUAGGACCAGUAGAAUUCAUUACUAAAACAUUGAAGUUAUAAUAAGAAUAAAACAACGUAUGGAUAAUAUAACAUGUCUGCUGCAGGGAAACAUAGACUUGGAAGAAGCUGCCUCAAACAGUUGUUUUACCUCAGCUUAAUUAUGCUAGAAAUGCACGAUACGUAAAAAAAAAAAAAAAAAAAAAAAAAAAAGAAAGAAAAAAAAAACUAUACAAACAUGAGAUGCACUGUGAUAGUUAACAAACAAAACCUAUCAUUAAACAACUGUUAUUGAUAGUUA